GACGUAGGGGGCGAGCGUUGUCCGGAUUCAUUGGGCGUAAAGCGCGCGUAGGCGGUUCGGAAAGUCGGAUGUGAAAACCCGGAGCUCAACUCCGGGCCUGCAUCCGAUACUCCCGGACUAGAGGUAGGUAGGGGAGAUCGGAAUUCCUGGUGUAGCGGUGAAAUGCGUAGAUAUUGGGAAGAACACCUGAGGCGAAGGCGGGUUGCUGGGCCGACACUGACGCUGAGGCGCGAAAGCCAGGGGAGCAAACGGG
rnacentral:rRNA from 1 species